rnacentral:rRNA from 1 species
GACGAACCGUGCGAACGUUGCUCGGAAUAACUGGGCUUAAAGGGAGCGUAGGCGGGCUAACAAGUCUGGGGUGAAAUCCCGCGGCUCAACCGUGGAACUGCCUUAGAUACUGUCGGCCUCGAGGGAGAUAGGGGCAUGCGGAACUAACGGUGGAGCGGUGAAAUGCGUUGAUAUCGUUAGGAACUCCGGUGGCGAAAGCGGCGUGCUGGAUCUCUUCUGACGCUGAGGCUCGAAAGCUAGGGGAGCAAACGGG